rnacentral:snoRNA from 1 species
AUUCAUCCCUAAGCCUUGGGGGCUGUGCUCUACAGGCUCCCAAGAUCGGGGUGAAUGCUUCGGAGACCACAGGCAAUCCCAGGGGCUGUGCAGCCAGGAGUCCACUUUAACUCAUACCUUUCUUGAGAGAUUG